UCGAGAAUCUUCCGCAAUGCGCGAAAGCGUGACGGAGCAAUGCCGCGUGUCGGAUGAAGGCCUUCGGGUUGUAAACGACUGUCGACAGGGACGAACUAAUGACGGUACCUGUAGAGGAAGCCACGGCUAACUACGUGCCAGCAGCCGCGGUAAUACGUAGGUGGCGAGCGUUGUCCGGAUUUAUUGGGCGUAAAGGGUCCGUAGGAGGUUUCGUAAGUUUGACGUGAAAUCCCGGAGCUCAACUCCGGAACUGCGUUGAAAACUGCGCGACUAGAGUACUGGAGAGGUAAGCGGAAUACCAGGUGUAGCGGUGGAAUGCGUAGAUAUCUGGUAGAACACCAAAAGCGAAGGCAGCUUACUGGACAGAGACUGACUCUCAAGGACGAAAGCGUGGGGAGCAAACAGG
rnacentral:rRNA from 2 species